AAAAACUGAGGUGGUGUAAGAUGGGCCCGCGUCUGAUUAGGUAGUUGGUGGGGUAGAAGCCUACCAAGCCGACGAUCAGUAGCCGACCUGAGAGGGCGACCGGCCACAUUGGGACUGAGACACGGCCCAAACUCCUACGGGAGGCAGCAGUGGGGAAUAUUGCACAAUGGGGGAAACCCUGAUGCAGUGACGCCGCGUGAGUGAGGAAGUAUUUCGGUAUGUAAAGCUCUAUCAGCAGGGAAGAAAAUGACGGUACCUGACUAAGAAGCCCCGGCUAACUACGUGCCAGCAGCCGCGGUAAUACGUAGGGGGCAAGCGUUAUCCGGAUUUACUGGGUGUAAAGGGAGCGUAGACGGAUAAGCAAGUCUGAUGUGAAAAUCCGGGGCCCAACCCCGGAAUUGCAUUGGAAACUGCAUAUCUAGAGUGUCGGAGAGGCAAGUGGAAUUCCUGGUGUAGCGGUGAAAUGCGUAGAUAUCAGGAGGAACACCAGUGGCGAAGGCGGCUUGCUGGACGAUGACUGACGUUGAGGCUCGAAAGCGUGGGGAGCAAACAGGAUUAGAUACCCUGGUAGUCCACGCCGUAAACGAUGACGACUAGGUGUCGGGAGGCAAAGCCUUUCG
rnacentral:rRNA from 1 species